rnacentral:rRNA from 1 species
AGAGUUUGAUCCUGGCUCAGGAUGAACGCUAGCGGCAGGCCUAAUACAUGCAAGUCGAACGGUGCCUUCGGGCACAGUGGCAAACGGGUGCGUAACGCGUAAGCAACCUGCCCUCUACCGGGGGAUAGCCUGGCGAAAGCCGGGGUAAACCCGCAUGGUUCCCUUUCACUUCCUGGUGGUUGGGAUAAACAUUUAUGGGUAGAGGAGGGGCUUGCGUCUGAUUAGUUAGUUGGCGGGGUAACGGCCCACCAAGACCGUGAUCAGUAGGGGUUCUGAGAGGAUUGGCCCCCACAUGGGUACUGAGAUACGGACCCAACUCCUACGGGAGGCAGCAGUAGGGAAUAUUGGGCAAUGGAGGCAACUCUGACCCAGCCAUGCCGCGUGCAGGAUGAAGGCGCUCAGCGUCGUAAACUGCUUUUAUCUACGAAGAACGGCAGAGAUGAGUCUUUGUGUGACGGUAGUAGAGGAAUAAGCACCGGCUAACUCCGUGCCAGCAGCCGCGGUAAUACGGAGGGUGCGAGCGUUAUCCGGAUUCACUGGGUUUAAAGGGUGCGUAGGUGGGGAAGUAAGUCAGUGGUGAAAUCUCCGUGCUUAACAUGGAAACUGCCAUUGAUACUAUUUUUCUUGAAUUUUCCGGAGGUUAGCGGAAUAUGUCAUGUAGCGGUGAAAUGCUUAGAUAUGACAUAGAACACCAAUUGCGAAGGCAGCUAACUACAGGGAUAUUGACACUGAGGCACGAAAGCGUGGGGAUCAAACAGGAUUAGAUACCCCGGUAGUCC